UUGGCGUAAGAGCUGUAGCCUAGGCUCUUGAGAGCAUAACAGGAUUGAAUGCAGAUCCAGCCCUCCUGAUUGAAAAAAGUGAGCCAGGGAACCCUUUAUCCGGGUGCUUCUGUUGACCUGGGCACACAAUUUCAAGUUUCUGAAGCUGAAGAAGAUCUCAAUAUGUAGAAUUGAGAAAGUGUCAUUCCAGGGCUGGGGUAGUACAAGACCCAGCCUGAGUUCAUAUAAUCCUAAAUGCCGAUCUUCAUUGGGUUCUAUCUUCCUGGGGCCAGCUCCUACUUCAGGCCAAAUCCAUUUUAUGAAAAAUUGAAGAUAAAGAAGAAAGAGGUAAUGUCAUUACUGCACAACUUAGACACAAACAACAUUGAACAUCGUGAGAAAUUUCAGGAGCUCAAGAAGGAGACUAACUUCUAUCAGUAAGUACUGGUCAGAAGGGCCCAUCACUUGUGGAAUGGCCAUCUCUGCCUCUCUUUGUUCUGGACUGGAGAGCCUGCAGCUCUGAGUCCAUCUGUUCUGCUGUUUAAAAAUCACUGUGCCGUGGGUCUUUUGGACUCAGUUUCAGUUCCAUAGGAGACUGUCACUUAUCACCACAGUAUCUAUGCAUCUUUAGAAGGCUCUGGAUAGAACUACACUGAUUCAGGCAUCAGAGUGUUAUUAGGCCGACCUGGGCCUCUGGGGUCAUACCAGGUUUAACAAAGCUCUAUGUGUGGACCACAUGGUUAGCAUGACCUCCCCUUGUUUCUACUGUCCUCCUGUGGUUGUUUGCUGCCUCCUAAUUGAUGUUGCCCCCAUGAAUUGGGCAUUCACGGGAUACUUGUAGAUCCCUUGUUCUUUUGGAGAGACAUGAACACUUAUUGCUGCUUGGCUCACAGAAACAAUUCAUUCUUCCCUGAAUUGGCCGUUUGCUGUUUGUGCAGCAGCCUUACAUGUAUGAAGAUGUAUUCUAUGAAGUCUUCAUGGGUAUCUGGGUCCUGGUGGAGUUUGUGGGAUUUGGCAGUUGGAAUGGGAGGAAGAGGCUUCUGGAUCUUACUAUGCAGAGUGUGUUUCCAGCAACCUGCACAGCCGGCUCCUGAUGGACCAGGCAUGUAUGAAGAAGUUGGUCACAUUGAAGCAGGAGAGCAAGGAGGUACAGCGAUAUUUGUCUGAGUUGAACCCGAAUGAUGAAGACGAACAGGAGAAGACCAGCAACCUCCAGACCCAGCAAAAUUUGUAGGAACAAGCAGCUGAGUCAGAUUAACAAUGUCUGAUACCAUUUGCCUAUUGGAUACAUCUUUGCUUUCCCCUAUCACCUUUCUAAUCUCCCCACACCCAAUCAGUCACCCACCUCAUGUGACAGAGUUAUUCAUUGCUCUGUCUAUGCACAAGUAUUCUGGGAAGUUAACCACUCUUCAGACACUGAAUUAUGGGCAAGUACACUUUUCUGCCCUUUUUGAAACUGCAGUCCAGAAAUAGUGACAGAGGAAUAACAUAUCACAUUACUGCAUCUCCCUGUCAUAGAUUGGAUGCUAUGAAGAGUUUUGAACAAAUUCUUGGUCCUCUGACAAAGGUCAUACAGGGGUCAUGUGAUGGUUGGAAGCACCUUGUAGGGAUAAGAACCAAGUGCAAAUGGCAAAUGAGUCCUGGUCAUUGGCUUUGAUCUGGGUAUCAUGUGGCCUUCUCCUUUCUUCCUGCAACUCAAAUAGGUCUCUCCCCAUUUCCCCGUUCUUGGUUUGCACUGGUAGAAGUCUGAGCAGCAGCUUGUUAUCCCACAGUACUGUGAGGGUUGCUGGUGAUUUUCCCCAGCCUGCAGAGAUAUCAGCAAUGAUUUCAGUGAAAAGAUCAGUGCUGUCUGUCCAAUGCAGCUGAAGGGACAGAAGGCAGCAACUUGAGAGCUGGUAUGCGUGUCCCCACCAAAUCAGUGUCUUAAUAGCUGCUUUCUUCUCCCAGGUCUCAGAAACUGCAGAAGACAUGGAAUAGGACGGACCCCAGGAAGACAGCCCCCUGAAGAAUGAGUUCCUCUUUCAGGAGUUCCCUGUGACGACAAUCCUCAACAGUCAAAGACUUUUUGUGGGUGAAUAUUCUUCUUCUCAGUUAAUUUCCUCAAUGUCUAGAGACCCUAAAUUUAUGUAUCAGUAUGGUGGCCUGUCUGAUUGAGGUGUUUCUCCUUUCUCAUAUCGACAACACCAUUUGAGAGACAACUGCGGGGACUUCCUUGACAUCUCAUGUCCUAGAGGAGAAACAGCACUACAACUGUGUUUCUAAAUGGUCAUUAAAAAAUGCUGUUAAG
rnacentral:lncRNA from 1 species